rnacentral:rRNA from 1 species
GAUGAACGCUGGCGGCGUGCCUAAUACAUGCAAGUCGAGCGAACGGACGAGAAGCUUGCUUCUCUGAUGUUAGCGGCGGACGGGUGAGUAACACGUGGAUAACCUACCUAUAAGACUGGGAUAACUUCGGGAAACCGUAGCUAAUACCGGAUAAUAUUUUGAACCGCAUGGUUCAAAAGUGAAAGACGGUCUUGCUGUCACUUAUAGAUGGAUCCNGCGCNNNUGCAUUAGNCNUNNAGUUGGUAAGGUAACGGCUUACCAAGGCAACGAUGCAUAGCCGACCUGAGAGGGUGAUCGGCCACACUGGAACUGAGACACGGUCCAGACUCCUACGGGAGGCAGCAGUAGGGAAUCUUCCGCAAUGGGCGAAAGCCUGACGGAGCAACGCCGCGUGAGUGAUGAAGGUCUUCGGAUCGUAAAACUCUGUUAUUAGGGAAGAACAUAUGUGUAAGUAACUGUGCACAUCUUGACGGUACCUAAUCAGAAAGCCACGGCUAACUACGUGCCAGCAGCCGCGGUAAUACGUAGGUGGCAAGCGUUAUCGGGAAUUAUUGGGCGUAAAGCGCGCGUAGGCGGUUUUUUAGUCUGAUGUGAAAGCCCACGGCCUCAACCGUGGAGGGUCAUUGGAAACUGGAAAACUUGAGUGCAGAAGAGGAAAGUGGAAUUCCAUGUGUAGCGGUGAAAUGCGCAGAGAUAUGGAGGAACACCAGCGGCGAAUGCGACUUUGUGGUCUGUAACUGACGCUGAUGUGCGAAAGCGUGGGGAUCAAACAGGAUUAGAUACCCUGGUAGUCCACGCCGAAAACGAUGAGUGCUAAGUGUUAGGGGGUUUCCGCCCCUUAGUGCUGCAUCUAACGCAUUAAGCACUCCGCCUGGGGAGUACGACCGCAAGGUUGAAACUCAAAGGAAUUGACGGGGACCCGCACAAGCGGUGGAGCAUGUGGUUUAAUUCGAAGCAACGACGAAGAACCUUACCAAAUCUUGACAUCCUUUGACAACUCUAGAGAUAGAGCCUUCCCCUUCGGGGGACAAAGUGACAGGUGGUGCAUGGUUGUCGUCAGCUCGUGUCGUGAGAUGUUGGGUUAAGUCCCGCAACGAGCGCAACCCUUAAGCUUAGUUGCCAUCAUUAAGUUGGGCACUCUAAGUUGACUGCCGGUGACAAACCGGAGGAAGGUGGGGAUGACGUCAAAUCAUCAUGCCCCUUAUGAUUUGGGCUACACACGUGCUACAAUGGACAAUACAAAGGGCAGCGAAACCGCGAGGUCAAGCAAAUCCCAUAAAGUUGUUCUCAGUUCGGAUUGUAGUCUGCAACUCGACUACCUUGAAGCUGGGAUCUCUAGUAAUUGUAAAUCGGCAUGCUACCGUGAAUACGUUCCCGGGACA